AACGAACGCUGGCGGCGUGGAUAAGACAUGCAAGUCGAACGGAAUUACUUUUGUAGCAAUACAGAAGUAAUUCAGUGGCGAACGGGUGCGUAACACGUGGGCAAUCUGCCGAAAAGUGGGGGAUAGCUCGCCGAAAGGCGAAUUAAUACCGCAUGUGGUGAGGGACGACAUCUUCCUGAAUCCAAAGCCGGGGCAACCUGGCGCUUUUUGAGGAGCCCGCGGCCUAUCAGCUGUUGGCGGGGUAACGGCCCACCAAGGCUAUGACGGGUAGCUGGUCUGAGAGGACGACCAGUCACACUGGAACUGAGACACGGUCCAGACACCUACGGGUGGCAGCAGUCGAGAAUUUUUCUCAAUGGGGGCAACCCUGAAGGAGCGACGCCGCGUGGAGGAUGAAGGCUUUCGG
rnacentral:rRNA from 1 species